rnacentral:rRNA from 1 species
AGAGUUUGAUUCUGGCUCAGGGUAAACGCUGGCGGCGUGCGUAACACAUGCAAGUCGGACGGGUUAUACAUCUUCGGAUGUAUAAUCAGUGGCGAACGGGUGAGUAAAAGGUAGGGACCUACCCCGAGGACAGAGAUAGCUACUGGAAACGGUAGGUAAACUCUGAUAAGCCCGAGAGGGGAAAGUGGGAGUCAGCCUUGGGAUGGACCUACUAUCCAUCAGGUAGUUGGUGAGGUAAAGGCUUACCAAGCCGAUGACGGAUAACCGGUGUGAGAGCAUGUACGGUCACAAGGGCACUGAGACACGGGCCCUACUCCUACGGGAGGCAGCAGUGGGGAAUAUUGGACAAUGGGCGAAAGCCUGAUCCAGCGACGCCGCGUGAAGGAAGAAGUCCUUCGGGAUGUAAACUUCUGAACUAAUCGAAUAAAAGGGUAGUGGACACACUACAGAAGAAGGUAGAUUAGGAAAAGUCCCGGCUAACUACGUGCCAGCAGCCGCGGUAAGACGUAGGGGGCGAGCGUUGCCCGGAAUCACUGGGUGUAAAGGGGACGUAGGCGGAUGAUCAAGUCAUCUGUGAAAAGAUUGCUCAACGAUUGGCUUGCGGAUGAAACUGGUCAUCUUGGGCGUAGCAGAGGUAGACGGAAUUACCUGAGUAGGGGUGAAAUCCGCAGAUACAGGUAAGAAGGCCGGUGAAGAAGUUGGUCUACUGGGCUACAGCUGACGCUGAGGUCCGAAAGCCAGGGGAGCGAACCGGAUUAAAUACCCGGGUAGUCCUGGCUGUAAACGAUGCUCAUUAGGUGUAGGGAGCGAAAGACUCUCUGUGCUGAAACGAACGCGCUAAGUGAGC